CUGAAACUCCUGCUGCGAGCAGUCUACUUCGAACCCUUACAGCAGACGGCCACCUCGGAUCCCUACUGUAAGCAAAUCCCAUCCGAGCCUCUGCUGUAAACAUAUUCCUCCCGAACUUCCAUUAUAGGUAGACUUCAAUCAAGCUUCUUCGUAGUCGGGUCCCGCGACAACCGAUCUUCGAUCGAGCUCCUACAAUUGGAUAGGACUCAUCGGCC
rnacentral:lncRNA from 1 species